rnacentral:misc_RNA from 1 species
UCCUCCCUCAAACCUCCCGGUUUGGCGUUGGACCACGUCGGACCCCCUGUGGUCGACGGGUCUCAAAGACAAUGACGGCGUCCGUGGGACCCUCUUCGCACUGAGCUUUCCGGAGCACGCGUCGAGUUGCAAGGUCCCGGGGACCCGGCCUUAAAUAACAUUAUUUAUCA